AAAGUCGUAACAAGGUUUCCGUAGGUGAACCUGCGGAAGGAUCAUUAUUGGUUAUCCUUUUUUCAUUUUCAACACACCGAACCGUGAAUGUGCGUGCGUGUGCGCGCGCCUGGAAUUUCCACGCGCGCAUCCACGCGCCAUUACACAAUUAUCCACUACUUUACACACAAUCACACACACACACACACAAUUAUAAUCAAAAUCCAUACAACUUCCAACGACGGAUCUCUUGGCUCCU
rnacentral:misc_RNA from 1 species